UACGUAGGGGGCAAGCGUUGUCCGGAUUUAUUGGGCGUAAAGAGCGUGUAGGCGGCCAGGUAGGUCAGCUGUGAAAACUCGAGGCUCAACCUCGAGACGCCGGUUGAAACCAUCUGGCUAGAGUCCGGAAGAGGAGAGUGGAAUUCCUGGUGUAGCGGUGAAAUGCGCAGAUAUCAGGAGGAACACCGGUGGCGAAGGCGGUUCUCUGGGCCUUACCUGACGCUGAGGAGCGAAAGCAUGGGGAGCAAACAGG
rnacentral:rRNA from 1 species